rnacentral:ribozyme from 1 species
AAUCAAGCAGCUUUGGACUCUGUUCAACGCUGGGUAGCGGACAAUAAUAUUAAUUGCGCUGACUUAAACCCAUAUGCUCUUGACCAUAGACUUACCAUGCUGCGCUAUCUCCGUGCCAACAAUUU